rnacentral:RNase_P_RNA from 1 species
GUAGGGUAGUGCUCUGCUGUCGGUCCGUUCGCGGGCUGAGGAAAGUCCACCCACCACAAAGAAGCCACCAGAGGAAUCUGGUUAUCGAAAGGUAAGGCAACUACUCAGAAACGAGACCACCUAUCGGCAGGAUGAUGAAGCGAAGAUGCCCGGAGACAGGCGUCAAGUAACCUUCAGACGUUCCUUUAGGAAAGGGUGAAACGGUAAGCCCUGGCUGGUGCAACCUCUUUUGAGGGCUUAGUCGAAUGCAGAGAGGGGCCUUCUAUCGCAAGAUAGGGCGCAACAUAAGGUGGCUUAUAGCUACCCUAC